UUAUACCCACUCUUAGCAGUAUUGAGCAGUAGAGGUGGUAUUUCGCUGGCGGUCGUCCGCCGUGAAAAAAAGCUCCUAAUAAUCCGUAGUAGCAACGUAGAAUUUUUUUAUACAUUUACAUUAUCUUGUUAAAAGAAAAAAGUUGUAGGGUUGUGCCCUAGAGUAUAAGGCAGUAAAUAAUCGUAUAAAUAAACAAAUGAAAUAAUAAAAAAAGCAAUAUUGUGCUCAGGACUUAUAUACUAAAACAAUAAGAAUAAAUAAAUUCCGCUUGGAUAAAUUUGUAGUUGAGCAAAAUGGCAGCAGUCGACUCAUCAACGGACGACAGUCUUUAUCCCAUUGCAGUUUUGAUAGAUGAAUUAUAGAAUAAAAAUUUACUACUGCGAUUGAAUUCAAUCAAAAAACUUUUAACGAUUACCUUGGCACUUGGUGCUGAACGUACUUGUAGUGAGUUGAUGCCUUUUUUGACAGAGACAAUUUAUAAUGGAGAUGAAGUUUAAUUGGCACUCGCUGAACAACUUGAUACAUUCACACCACUAGUAGGUCGACUUGAUCAUGUUUAUUGUUUAUUGCCACCACUUGAAGCAUUGGCACCUGUUGAAAAAACAGUCGUACGUGACAAAGCAGUUGAAUCGUUGCGUAAUCUUGCAAGUCAACACAGUCCAGCAUAUCGUGAAGAUCAUUUUGUUCCAUUGGUACAACGUUUGACAUCUGGUGAUUAGCUUACGUCAAGAACAUCAGCAUGUGGUUUAAUAAGUUUAUGUUAUCCACCUGUAAGUGGUUCUAGUGAGUGAAUCACCAUUAAGAAGCGGACGGGAAGAAGAAGAACCUUUGAGAAAUCAAUGUAUGGAAGAUUCUGAAAUAGAUUCUGGAGAUUCUGAAUAAAUCCAUAAUAAUGAAUUUUUCUAUUGCAUAAUUUUUUUCUGUUCUUUUUAUGUAUUUUUUAUUUGUAUCGUCUCUAUACAAUAUUGUAUGUUGUAACCAUAUUCAUAUAACUAAAACAAUAAAUUAUCAUUGAAACCUUGUUAUUUAUGCAUAGUUCCAGAUUAUUUUCAAUGUGAACGACUUUAUACAGUCAUUUAUUUACUGUAAUAUAUAAUUAGAUAAUUACUGUUAACGAAGCGCUAACCAACUACAAAUAAACUAAGUCUAAUUAACCGCGAACGAACCACCAACAAACUCUAAAUAAACUAUGAGUAGACCAUAAAUGGUGACCCAAAAGAGUUAGUUUCUGGUUAGUUUUCGGUUAGUUAUUUGAAUUCAAAAUAUUCGGGUUUGAACAAGGUUUAUCAACAGUUAACUAACAGUUCGUUUUCAUUUGGUUAUUUUUAGGUUUAAGAAGGGUUUGUUUUCGGUUUUUUUUGCGCACAUUCCAACCUCGAGACAACCGUUUGAUAACGGUUCAUAAGGGGUUGGACCGUACCGUUAGGGGAGGUAAUCUUAGCACUAUUCUGACAAUUCUAAUUAAGUUUGCAUACUGACCGACGUUAUCGACUGAUUAUGGCUUGGAGAAGAAUAGUUGCUGAUGCUUUCAUCCCUUGAAUUAUCAGAAUUAUUAUCCUAUAAAAAAAGGCUAGUUAUUAGAUCAUUUCGGAUAUACUAUUAAUCUCAGGAGAAUCUAAAACUAUCUGACUGAUUCACCAAACCAUUGUCAAUAAUUUAAUCAGGUUUAUUAGUUGAUUUGGACUUAUUGAAUUACAAUUCAUGGCGUAUUUUAUUUUACAAAACAUCAAAUAAUAAAAAUUAAUUUUUUUUUAGAAUUACUUGAUCCGUUUCAGAUCAGGAAUCCUGUUCCAUUCCUGAUCAGCUAUCCUGCUCAGGUUUCCUGAUCCGAUUCUGAUCAGAAUCCUAAAAAAGAGCGUUACAUUCUGAUCCGUUCCUGAACAGGAUUCCUGGUUAUGUUCUAGUCAGGAAUCCUGAUCCAUUCCUGUUCAGGUAUCCUGGCUCUAACCCUACAAUCUGGCCAGGUUUCCUGAUCCGGUUCUGAUUAGAAUCCUAAAAAAAAGCGUUACAUUCUGAUCCGUUCCUGAACAGGAUUCCUGAUCCGUUUCUGAUUUGAAAUCAG
rnacentral:lncRNA from 1 species